UACGGGGGAGCAAGCGUUGUUCGGAUUUACUGGGCGUAAAGGGCGCGUAGGCGGUCAGCACAAGUCAGUUGUGAAAUCUCCGGGCUUAACCCGGAAAGGUCAACUGAUACUGUGCGGCUAGAGUGCAGAAGGGGCAACUGGAAUUCUCGGUGUAGCGGUGAAAUGCGUAGAUAUCGAGAGGAACACCUGCGGCGAAGGCGGGUUGCUGGGCUGACACUGACGCUGAUGCGCGAAAGCCAGGGAGCGAACGGG
rnacentral:rRNA from 1 species